rnacentral:tRNA from 1 species
GCCGGGGUGGCGGAAUGGUAGACGCGCGCGACUCAAAAUCGCGUACCGCAAGGUGUGGAGGUCCGAGUCCUCUCCCCGGCA